AAGCCUCCCGCCAAACAGAUGAGGGAGGAGGAGGAGGGGAGAGGCCAGAGAGAGAAGCGGCUUUCGGGAAGGAAAGUGUGAUCUAGUAGGUGGAAUAGUCCUCUCCAAACUUUGACCUGAGAAUGACCCUCUAUUUGGAUUUGGAUUACACAAAGUUUAACGUUUUUUGGAAAAAUCCUACCUAGGUAAUGUGUAGUUCUCAAUGCAUCAUGUCAGGCAGCUUAUGAUGCCAAUUUGUCCCAUGGUGCUGAUCCUUUUAGAGGCAGCCGUGGAAGAGGAAAAGAGAUCAGAAGAGAAAAGGAUAUUGGUUUGCGGAACAUGUGGGACAAGAAGUUCCCAGAAGAAUUUGUGAGCAACUUCCCGACAGUAAGGCCCUGGCUAGACCUCAGGAUGGUCCCUG
rnacentral:lncRNA from 10 species